AUAUUUACCUGGCCAGGGAGAUGCCAUGAUCGCAAAGGUAGUUUUCGCAGGGCGAGACUUAUCCAUUGCUCUCCGAAUGGGCUGACCCCUGCGAUUUCCCCAAAUGUGGGGAACUCGACGGCAUAAUUUGUGGUAGCGGGGGACUGCGUUCUUGCUCUCCCCUG